rnacentral:tRNA from 1 species
GGUAUAGCCCAGUUGGUUAGAGCGCUAGUUUGUGGCACUAGAGGCCGAGAGUUCGAAUCUCUCUAC